rfam:Cephalotus follicularis DNA, scaffold: scaffold5667, isolate: St1.
GGAGGUGUAGUGCAAUCUGGUCCGCGCAUCUGUUUUGGGCACAAAUGGCCAUAGGUUCAAAUCCUGUCACCUUGA